GACAGCCAUUACUCAUUAGAUAAUUGUGUUGAGUGGUUGUCAAAAGUUUUCCUAUUUUUCCAUGAAAAUUACCGAUGAAUUCAUAAGAAGGAACUGGAAAGGAAACAGUAGCAUACAAGUUGCCUACCAUCACUAACACCAACUCUUUUAUUAAAAAUCUUCGUUCUGCUGAAUGCAUCAUGCAGUUAAUACAGGUCACUACCCCAGUGUGGACAUGUUUGUUUUUCAACAAAUAAUUCAUUGACAUACAAGGAAAACUAUGAAAAAUAUCAUAUCAUCUUGGCCAAUCUUCAGGUUUAUUGCAGCAGCUUAAGAGAAGAAUAUGAACAAAUGCAGGGCAAAUACCAACAUGUGUUGUAUUUUUCUGAAUGUUAAACACAAGCAGUAGAUUCAACAUGACUAACUGUUUGAUGCCAAAGUUGGUUGGAACUCAACUCACUGUACGUACUCUAACACAGAAAACUGGUGCUGUUGCCUUUCAGCCACAGGCAGGAAAAUCAUUCUUUUCUUCAGAAAAUUGGAAAGCUGCUGGAGUAAUCUGGUGUUCAUGCUCAUUUGAUUCAUUUCGUGCCAGCUAGUGAAAGCCGAAAGGCAUGUCAAUUCAAUUGAGUUGCUCCGUGCUGUCUCGAAGCAAGCAAUC